UAUGUUUUUAAACAAGUUUUCAGACUCAUAGCAUGCAGUGUUGACAGUCAAGUCCAGUUCACAUUUGGGCAGGCAGUGUUCAACAGUUCAAAAGACCAGAAACUUUUGGCUGAUGGGAGGAAGUGAUGAAGAUGAGAAAUGUAAUAACUGUGUCAGAUAUAAGGAAACUGAAUUGUUGCAGAAAAAUUAAAUUCAAUUCAUUUGAUCAAAAGAGGUCAUGUUCACUUGAUUUAAGCAAAAAGCACUCACACAAUAGGGAAACUCUUCAAAAAGUCAAAAGACUGGAAAUUCAUGGUCUUCCUAUCAUACAUCAUGAUGGAUAUGUGUGUGAUUUUCCUUUUAAACAUAGAUUUGCAAUGAGAAAAUUCCAUGGAGUUUUACGAUAUCUCAGAACUGAUAAUGUGAUAUCAAUGAAACAAAUCUUAAAACCAACUGCUAUAGACCCAGAUUUGCUAAAACUUGUGCAUACUCCUGACUAUAUUGACCGGUUCCUUACUGGAAAAACCACUGUUGAAGAGCAGAGACUCACUGGAUUUAAAUGGAGUGAGGGAAUUGUAUCAAGAUGCAGAUUAGAGACAGGAGGAACACUAUUAGCUGGUCGAAUUGCAAUGGAGCAUGGGAUAGCAUGCAGUACAGGAGGGGGUACCCACCACGCCUUCCCCAGUCACGGGGCGGGGUACUGCCUUCUGAAUGAUAUGGCUGUGACGGCUGCUGCAUUGUUUAAUGAGUGUGUAGCACAGAAAGUCUUGAUUGUGGACUUGGAUGUUCACCAGGGUGACGGAACUGCUUACAUCUUCAGUGACAGUUGUGCAAUUUUUACCUUCUCAAUGCACUGUGAAAAGAACUACCCAUUUACGAAACAGACAAGCGACAUAGAUAUAGGGCUUAUGAUGGGAAUUUCAGAUAAAGACUACUUAGACCACGUACAGUCUUAUCUCCCCUGGCUGCUGGACAGCUUUAGACCUGAUCUUGUUCUCUACGAUGCUGGCGUUGAUCCACAUGAAAAGGAUGAACUAGGGAAGCUUAAUCUAACAGAUGAAGGUAAGCUCAAGGGCUUUUUCUCAGAGAUUGGUUUGUAAUUGAUGCUUGUGUGUCACGUGGUAUUCCACUAGCUACUGUGAUUGGUGGAGGUUAUGACAGAGAUAUCAAUAGAUUGGCGUUACGUCAUACAGUGGUGCAUAGAGCAGCAACUAAAGUAUGGCAUAAUCGGAUAUCAAAAAAGUGAUAGCUCUUUGACUCGGGAAAACUUCAAUCACAUGAAAAUUAAAGCUCAUUUUUAACUCCUGGAACUUGAUGGACUUUAAAAAAAAUGCUUUAUUUUUCAAAAUUCAAAUCCAUAUAGGGACUUCUUGCAGCAUUAAGGAAUUGCAGAUUCAGCCAAACUUGGUCUUCCUAAUGUAAUGUAAUACAUUUACACUGUACAUUGUAUAUAAACUUUUUUCUUUCCUUUAUUUGAUUUUUGAGUGCUUGAUUGCACAACGAUUUGCUAACCUCCAGAGUUAGUGCUACAUGUAUACCCAGGUAUAGGUAUAUAAUAUUGUAACUGUUGAGAAUCCAAAGUAAAGUUGUACUUUUAUCCUUUAAA